rnacentral:rRNA from 1 species
AUUGAACGCUGGCGGCAGGCCUAACACAUGCAAGUCGAACGGUAACAGGAAGCAGCUUGCUGCUUCGCUGACGAGUGGCGGACGGGUGAGUAAUGUCUGGGAAACUGCCUGAUGGAGGGGGAUAACUACUGGAAACGGUAGCUAAUACCGCAUAACGUCGCAAGACCAAAGAGGGGGACCUUAGGGCCUCUUGCCAUCGGAUGUGCCCAGAUGGGAUUAGCUAGUAGGUGGGGUAACGGCUCACCUAGGCGACGAUCCCUAGCUGGUCUGAGAGGAUGACCAGCCACACUGGAACUGAGACACGGUCCAGACUCCUACGGGAGGCAGCAGUGGGGAAUAUUGCACAAUGGGCGCAAGCCUGAUGCAGCCAUGCCGCGUGUAUGAAGAAGGCCUUCGGGUUGUAAAGUACUUUCAGCGGGGAGGAAGGGAGUAAAGUUAAUACCUUUGCUCAUUGACGUUACCCGCAGAAGAAGCACCGGCUAACUCCG